UCACAACCAAGCAGCAAUGAGGGAGUUAAUUACGUGAACUAUCAAGGAAAUACAGUCCAACCAAAUUCUGGAGCAAUCAAACACUCAAAUAAAGGUUGCAUCCAAAAUAAUAGUGUUAGUUGCUGCAGGUUUAUGUUAAAAAUGGUAAUUAUUAUCAACAUUAUUUAAAUGAUAGUUCAUAUUGGCAUAUAGUCUCAUCUACUGGCAGGAACAUAGAAGGGAAAGAAGAUAUCUGGGCGCACAGGUCUAGUUAGAGCAGAAGGGGAAUGAAUGAGUGGGAAGGAGUUCCUGUUGUAUUUAGAAAAAACAGAUAGUUCAGUUUAUAUCCAGUAGGUGGCGACAAAGCGAAAUGUUGGCUACCGGCCUGCUAUUAACAACCAGAGAAGAAGAAAACCAGGAAGCGUUGUUCUUCUUCGUGGGUGACGCGUUGUCGCUCCUCCACAUUGAAGUCAGCGGCGAGCAGCAUGGAGACCCGCGUACACUCAACACGUCGCGCUCUACCGGCCACGUUCACUGUGAAACGGAACCGGGUUUUAAAUGGAACAACACGAACACGACCCUGCGACUAUCUAACGCUGCAGGUAAUCCAGGUACAUUGGAGGAGAUGACCUGACUCAUCAUGGAGGAGCUCCCGACGCACGUGACGAGAGGGUCGGCCCUGGUGUUGUGCAGGCCUGCUCACUGGGACCCUGAAUGGAACUGAGGCACCGUUCAUUUUAUACUUAUGAAAAGUCAAGAGUGCUGUACAAUAAUAUACCAAUGGCACGAAAAAGGCAGAUCCUUUCCCCCCCCCCGACUGUAUUUAAAGUGAAUGUUUCUUAUUUAUCUGUAUUGGUGUUAAUUCUUAUAAAUGCUGACGUUCUGUUUGCUGAUCUCUCUUCCAGAUGCCCCUCGUCUGAAGAUGGGAUUAUUGAUCCUGAUGUGGCCAAGAGUACAAACACGACGGAGAGGUAACUCCUACUUCACAAUAACGUGUACUUAAAAGCGCGGCGAAUUCUGUUUUACUCUUGAAGUAGUAAAUGCAGUCAGACACCGUGCAAAAUUAUUGUUUUCACACACUGACUCCAGGAUCAGAGUGCUAAUGCCGUGCCUCAUUCUUACGUCAGAGUGAAUACAGAAAUGUGGUUUCUUUUGAUCCAUGAUUUUCUUACCAGGCUGCAACUAUUAUUAGUCAUUAGGAUAUUUUACCAAAUGCAUUGUUAAGCUUUAUCGUCUUACAAUUUCUUGUUUGUGUGAGAAUAAACAAGCUCGAUAACAUUGUCAGACAAAUUCAUCUCGGAGCCUCAUUUACUUUUUGUUGUUGUUGCAGGAUUCGUCAGAAUAUGUAUUUCUGGAGAAGUGCUGUAAUGCUCGCUCAAUCCCACUGCUGAUCGCCAAAGAAAACAUGGUUUCUACAACAGAGAGGCCCAACGACGGUACGUUCACACACACUGUUGUGCACCGACAUGCAGCAUAAUUAGUAUUCCUAGCGGUGAAGAAGUCACCAUUGAGGCAUGGACGAAUUCUGUUCCAGCUGCUCUGUGGUGGAAACAGUCAGACACCAUGCAACAGCCUCGUCUCAUUUCUGCCAAGUGACGGGUGAGUGCUUCUCUCGGCCUCAUCCAACCGCGCAGGAAUGAGUACAAAGAUGAGAUGAGAAAAUUAAUGUGCUGCUCGACUUCUACUUUUUAUUUUCGCUCCAUUUAUCUUUCUUUUUAUUCUGCAGUGGCUCCUUUUGAAAAGGGACCAUGAGGAAAAAUAUCCACCUCCUUUCUGUUCAUGGUAAGAACAUGAUAAUUAAAUAUUAUUUACCCUUGCUGUGAUUAUAUUUGACUCUUUAAAUAUUGUUUUUCAGCUCCGCCAGGGACGGAAGUG